UACGAAGGGUGCAAGCGUUAUUCGGAAUCAUUGGGCGUAAAGGGUGCGUAGGCGGCGCGGUAAGUCGGGUGUGAAAUCUCGGGGCUUAACUCCGAAACUGCAUUCGAUACUGCCGUGCUUGAGGACUGGAGAGGAGACUGGAAUUUACGGUGUAGCGGUGAAAUGCGUAGAUAUCGUAAGGAAGACCAGUGGCGAAGGCGGGUCUCUGGACAGUUCCUGACGCUGAGGCACGAAGGUCAGGGGAGCAAACGGG
rnacentral:rRNA from 1 species